rnacentral:lncRNA from 1 species
UGACAGCAGUGCAUAAAGCCAAUAUCAUGAAGCUUGCUGAUGGUUUGUUCUUGGAGUCUUACCGUGAGGUUGCAAAGAAGUACCCUGGAAUUAAAUAUAAUGAAAUCAUUGUGGACAACUGUUGUAUGAAGCUUGUUGCAAAGCCUGAACAAUUUGAUACCCUGAACAUUUGAAAAUUCGAAAUACCCAAAUACACGGUGCUAAACAAAUACCAACAAUUACCUUAUUAAUAUCAGAAUUUAGAACAAGCAUAAAUGCAUAAACCUAGAUGGAAGCUGCAUCAUUUUUUAGGCCAAAGAAUAUAAACCUAGCAAGGAAAUGGUCUGAAAGGUGUAGGUCCUAUGCUAUUAUUAAAAGAUCAAAGGAAUUAUCGUUUACUAUUUAGUAUUUACUUAUUCAGCAAUUAAAAUACAUACACGAAACAUGACCGGCUUGUAGAACCUAAUAGCAGAAUCUAACGUUGAAGGAAUAACCCACAUGAAACUAAUCAACCAAUCACAAUAAAUAAACCAUGUUAAAUUUUGCAAUAAAUGUGUGAACACAGUGAUAUGUCCACUGAGCAAUAUUCCUGAUACAGAUCCACUUAGUUAAACAAGAAAAUAAUCCUGCACGCUUCAUGGUAGUGACUUUCAACACUGGACAAUUCAAAAUAAAUUUAGUGUAUGAGACCGGAAAUUCAGUAUGUGCUUAUCCAUCACGUGUGUAGAAAGUAAAAUAAGCCUUCAAUGUUUUCUCAUUUAAUUUUUUGGCUUUAAUCAUAAACAAGGGAAUGCAGAUUGGAAUGACAAAUAAGUGUCAUUAUGACAAAUAGCAACAGUUGACAGGUAAGAAAUCCAAGAAAUUAUAGGAAGAACUGUUGUAGUUUGUUCUCCUUCAUCAGGACACAAUAAGCCAACAAUACAUAAUGAAUUUAAAUACUUGCUAUAUAGUACACACUUACUUGAAAUCAUUUCAGCCUCCUCAGCUUAACAAUAUAGACACCACCUUGCAGCCUAGUUUUGAAAGUUUGCAGCUCUCGGCAGCAGCAAGGAAUUGACAUUUAAUAACUAACUAUAUGUAAACAACGCACAAUCAAAGUAGGUUUUUUUGUCUAUAUAAAAAAGAGUAAGAUGACAAGACCAUCAGAGCAGAUAAGAUAAUAAGAUAAAGUACAUGUACAAAACAAUAAGAUAAGGAGAGCACAAUCAUGUCACUAACUCGUAAUGUUAGCCAUAUAUUUGGAAACAUCAUAGUUGUGAUUAUCACAAAUAGAACAAAGAAGAAUAAACAUAAUAGUUUAUGAUCUUUUACCAAACAACAUGGAAGAAACUAUAAUGAGCAAUCUAGC